rnacentral:rRNA from 1 species
UACGAAGGGGGCUAGCGUUGCUCGGAUUGACUGGGCGUAAAGGGCGCGUAGGCGGUUCGUACAGUCAGACGUGAAAUUCCUGGGCUCAACCUGGGGGCUGCGUUUGAUACGUGCGGACUUGAGUGCGGAAGAGGGUCGUGGAAUUCCCAGUGUAGAGGUGAAAUUCGUAGAUAUUGGGAAGAACACCGGUGGCGAAGGCGGCGACCUGGGAUAACACUGACGCUCAUGCACGAAAGCGUGGGGAGCAAACAGG